UAAAAAUAUUUACUGUGUAUCACAAUAUGUGCCAUUUUAUAUCACAAUAUAUUAAUGCAUUAUGUCACAAGAAAUGUUAUGUUGUAAAUAUUAAUAUGACACAUUUGAGUACGUGGCUGCAAGGUUAAAUCGUGGCUAUGUAAUGGGGGGGGGGGGUAAUAUAAGUAACUGAAUUGUUAAAAUGUCUUCCUAUGUAGGCUGGAUGUAUUAAAUGACCUAAAGGUUGUUACCUUAUUAUUAUGUGCACAUCCCUUUUCCAGAGACUUGAUUUUGCUGAAUUAAAAAAUGUUUAAGUAAAAAUGG